AUUGAACGCUGGCGGCAGGCCUAACACAUGCAAGUCGAACGGUAACAGGAAGAAGCUUGCUUCUUUGCUGACGAGUGGCGGACGGGUGAGUAAUGUCUGGGAAACUGCCUGAUGGAGGGGGAUAACUACUGGAAACGGUAGCUAAUACCGCAUAACGUCGCAAGACCAAAGAGGGGGACCUUCGGGCCUCUUGCCAUCGGCUGUGCCCAGAUGGGAUUAGCUAGUAGGUGGGGUAACGGCUCACCUAGGCGACGAUCCCUAGCUGGUCUGAGAGGAUGACCAGCCACACUGGAACUGAGACACGGUCCAGACUCCUACGGGAGGCAACAGUGGGGAAUAUUGCACAAUGGGCGAAAGCCUGAUGCAGCCAUGCCGCGUGUGUGAAGAAGGCCUUCGGGUUGUAAAGUACUUUCAGCGGGGAGGAAGGGAGUAAAGUUAAUACCUUUACUCAUUGACGUUACCAGCAGAAGAAGCACCGGCUAACUCCGUG
rnacentral:rRNA from 1 species